rnacentral:tRNA from 1 species
GCGGGCGUAGUUCAGCGGUAGAACGUCAGCUUCCCAAGCUGAAUGUCGUGGGUUCAACUCCCAUCGCCCGCU